rnacentral:rRNA from 1 species
GACGAACGCUGGCGGCGUGCCUAAUACAUGCAAGUAGAACGCACAGGAUGCACCGUAGUUUACUACACCGUAUUCUGUGAGUUGCGAACGGGUGAGUAACGCGUAGGUAACCUGCCUGGUAGUGGGGGAUAACUAUUGGAAACGAUAGCUAAUACCGCAUAAGAACAUUUACUGCAUGGUAGAUGUUUAAAAGGUGCAAAAGCAUCACUACCAGAUGGACCUGCGUUGUAUUAGCUAGUUGGUGAGGUAACGGCUCACCAAGGCAACGAUACAUAGCCGACCUGAGAGGGUGAUCGGCCACACUGGGACUGAGACACGGCCCAGACUCCUACGGGAGGCAGCAGUAGGGAAUCUUCGGCAAUGGGGGGAACCCUGACCGAGCAACGCCGCGUGAGUGAAGAAGGUUUUCGGAUUG